CUUUGGGCUACGGCGGUGACCAGACUCGUUGCUGCCGGGCGCAACGCGAUCGGCCAUUGACGAUCUUACAGUGCAAUAGAUAACCUUGAAAUGCUUUUAUCUACUUGUUUAUUCUGUUAUCUUUUACCGUACGGAUAAGUGGUGGCUUACGUAGACAUUACGCCGCAUACAUUACACUAGUGCAAUGUAAUUACUAAGUGAAUUCCUCGACAGAAACAAAUGAUAUAAGUGCAGUUUAAUCAUUUCUGUAAAAAGAUCGUUUAAAAUUAUUUUUGUUUCUCGAUGUAACCCACAAUGCAUUCGAGUAUACAGUGAUAGUUGUGAAUUGCAGCGAAAAAAAGUUCCAUGUGAACCGAGUGCUGGUUUUAAGAAAAUGAUUUUAGUUAUUGUUUACGGUUACAAGCAAAAUACCCUCAUGAGAAAAGUGCUUAGAUAUGGAGAUAUGUGAACUAACUUGUAGAAACAUUAAAAGAAAACAGAAAUGAUUCAUUUAAAUUAUGAUUCACUAGAAGAGACCCCGAAGAUUCUGACACAUACGAGUAUUUUAUAGUUCACGAUACUUAUGGUACUUUGUUCUUUGGAAAAAUGAGUAGUGAGUAAAAUGUUUUUCAUUUGGAAGGUCGAAUGAAGAAUGGGAGGAAAUAUAAACACUUGGCGUUUACAAUAAACGAUGAAACUGAGCCCUGAAUGAAUAUUUGUUCAUAAGAUUCGCGAUGUGUUCAUCUAUCAAGAACUGUAUCAGGAUUAGCCUUCUCGUUAUAGUGACACUCGAGACCCAAUCAACUCUUGCUGAUCCUCACACAGGAUGGAAAGAAGAAACAAACUGGAAGAGUGGAAAUGACCAGCAGCAGAGGAGAGGACCCCACUUCCUUCCAGACCUUCCAGCCAACAUUUCCGUUACUGUCGGGAGACUGGCUACUCUGCCCUGCCGUGUGGCCAACCUCAAGGGAAGAUCGGUUUCCUGGAUAAGAAAAGAAGACCUCAAAGUUCUCUCCACCGACAGUGUGAUCUUCACCACCGAUACUCGAAUAAAGAUACGUGCGUGGAGAACUGGGGUGGUGUGGGCCUGGGACUUGGAGAUCGAAGAAGCCACCAUAGAUGACUCCGGUAUCUACGAAUGCCAGGUCAACACUAGACCUAAAGUCUCUCAUCCAGUUCAACUUGACGUCCAACUUGGUGGAGCUGUGAUUGCUGGCCCACCGGAAGUCUACGUUGAAACGGGGUCGCGAUUGCUGCUUACUUGUUGGGUCAUUGCACCUCCUAAACCUCCAGGACCCAUAACCUGGCUGCAUGACCUAGUUCCCGUCAAGACAGAUGGAUUGAGAGGGGGAGUGAGUCUACACAUCGCCCAGGAGGGACCAAAAGCUAGCGCCAGACUCUCUCUCACGAGCGUCUCUCCAGCAGAUGCCGGGAAUUACACCUGUCAGCCAGAGGGACUCGACACUGCCCAAGUAUCGGUAUUCGUCCUAAAAGAUGAACAGCCGAGGGCAAUGCAUCACGACUCUGCCACCAGCCUCCGCAGUAGCAGGCUAAUAGACCUUGUGAUAUGCGUUCUCCUGAUUCACACGGUCAGAUGAUACCACUACAAAUUCCUUUGCAAGGGUUCUUAGAAACAAACCAUAUCCGCUACAUCCUGCUUCAUAAAUCCCAGUUUAUUCACCUUCAGAACGUUUUUCCUCUGAAAUCUACGGAAUAAACAAUGUCCUCAACCGUGAAGUGAUGUAGAAAUUGCGACACAAAUAAGCCUACGGGAGCUGUUCAACAAGUUUUAUCAUCUAAGACAAGGCGUGAUCCGACCUCCAGCUUACUCGGGGCGCGUGCUAACAUCUACGGUCAAAUAGUGCGUUGUUUCAACAACGAAAAUUUAAAUAAAAACACUAUAUUUUAUCAGAAAUAAUUUUUCUGUAUAGUUUAACAUGCACAUUAAUUAUUCUUUAAAUUUUCAUUUUAAUAAAUAAAUCAUAAAUAUCCUAUCCUAAAAUUCCUGUAUCUUUAACUCAACGCAAAACACCUUUUUCAGACCUUUUAAGGCUUUUCCAUAGGGCUUUCCUACCCACCCAACAAGAACAACAACAGCAAGAAUAACAACAAUAACAAGAACAAGAACAACAAUAACAACAAAGUAGUUUGUAGGUUUACUCCCCGAGUAAGGGAAAAGAACUGUACAUUAUAUUCACAAGUAGCUAAGCAGAAUAUGUUUGUUUUCUAUUGGAUGAUUCUACUCCAUCUAAACAAUCGUGAUGAUAAAUGUGAAAUUGACAUCAUUUACUUUGAUGUCACUCAUUAGAACUUUUGUAUGAAAAUCAACUCUUGCACAAUUCCUCCUGGCAAUCAUCAUUUUCAUCUGGAAUUUCCAUUUUCAAGUGAUGGCCAGAACUUGAUCAUGAUUUCAGCCACAUGUUUCACGUAUGGGCUCUCUUAUUGUACAGUAAUUAUGUGGCAAUAAGUGUGAAUUUGUGUAAUUCUUGUGUAUGUUGUACCAUAUGUUAAGAAUAAAAUUGAUUUCC